CGCAUCUAAGGUUUUAGCUAGAAUCAGGUCGAUCUAUUCCCAGAGAGGAACUGGGAAGAGGAGCUGGCUGAUUUGGGGAGACUUGAGGGAGGCCACAGCUGAGCAGACCGCAGAGCCGGCUGUUCACACUAAGGGGCUAACUUAGCACACCUCAGCCCAGCUCUACCCAGCUCCAGUUGGUUUAUGCAGGGAGGUGAUGCAGGAGAUCUUGGGACAAAAUCAGAGAGCUUGCAACCCCUUGUGUCCGAGUCUUUCGUGGUGGUGGCUUUGGAACACUACACACACACACACACACACACCACUUAGGCCAUUUCUCACAUGCUAGGGUCCUAUGAGUUCAAAGGCCUUGUGGCUUCAAACACUUUAGACUCCAAGAGGAGGGAAAGGAGUGAAGACGUGGAUAAGCAGCAGACACUGGUCAGAGUAUUGAGUAAGCCACAGACUCCAAUGGAAGGGACACUGGACCCUGUCUUGGAUAAAGGAGGCUUUCCUGGAGGAGCCAGUGCCUAAGCCAGCCCUAAGGAAAUGAGCAGGAAAGCCAGAGGAAAGAGGAAGGAAGGGUUUGCCUGACAGUGGGAACAAUGGUUGUUGGGAUCUGAAAGUGAAGAUGUGCGGGCACAUGAGAUUUGGGAAACCUUGAGUAACCUCGGCUUUCACUCCACUCCCUUUUCAGCAGUACUGGGUUGAAUCUAGGGCAUCAAACACGGGAGGCAAAUGACCUAUCGCUGAGCCCCAGGCCUAUGCCCAACUUCAUCUUCUAGGCCACUUCUCUCUACUGGUGUCUUAUCAGAAGCCUUCGGAAAGCCAGACACCCUCCAGGUAUCUCUGUGUAGCCCUGGCCAUUCUAGAAUUUGCUUUGUGGACCAGGCCGGUCUUGAACUCACAGAGAUCUAUCUGCCUGUAACUCCAGAGUACUGGGAUCAAAAGCGUGCACCACUAUACCAG
rnacentral:lncRNA from 1 species